UACAGAGGGUGCGAGCGUUGUCCGGAAUCACUGGGCGUAAAGGGCGCGUAGGUGGCGACCCAAGUCGAUGGUGAAAGCUCGCCGCUCAACGGCGAGUCGGCCACCGAUACUGGGUUGCUGGAGCACUGUAGAGGCUCAGUGGAAUUCCGGGGUGUAGCGGUGGAAUGACGUAGAGAAUCCGGAAGAACACCGGUGGCGAAGGCGGUGAGCUGGGCAGUUGCUGACACUGAGGCGCGACAGCGGUGGGAGCA
rnacentral:rRNA from 1 species